AUGAACGCUGGCGGCGUGCCUAAUACAUGCAAGUCGAGCGAACAGACGAGGAGCUUGCUCCUCUGACGUUAGCGGCGGACGGGUGAGUAACACGUGGAUAACCUACCUAUAAGACUGGGAUAACUUCGGGAAACCGGAGCUAAUACCGGAUAAUAUAUUGAACCGCAUGGUUCAAUAGUGAAAGACGGUUUUGCUGUCACUUAUAGAUGGAUCCGCGCCGCAUUAGCUAGUUGGUAAGGUAACGGCUUACCAAGGCAACGAUGCGUAGCCGACCUGAGAGGGUGAUCGGCCACACUGGAACUGAGACACGGUCCAGACUCCUACGGGAGGCAGCAGUAGGGAACCUUCCGCAAUGGGCGAAAGCCUGACGGAGCAACGCCGCGUGAGUGAUGAAGGUCUUCGGAUCGUAAAACUCUGUUAUUAGGGAAGAACAAAUGUGUAAGUAACUAUGCACGUCUUGACGGUACCUAAUCAGAAAGCCACGGCUAACUACGUG
rnacentral:rRNA from 1 species